CUACGGGACGCAGCAGUGAGGAAUAUUGGUCAAUGGGCGCGAGCCUGAACCAGCCAUCCCGCGUGCAGGAUGACGGCCCUAUGGGUUGUAAACUGCUUUUCUAUGCCAAGAAACCCUGUUACGAGUAACAGGUUGCCGGUAGCAUAGGAAUAAGCAUCGGCUAACUCCGUGCCAGCAGCCGCGGUAAUACGGAGGAUGCAAGCGUUAUCCGGAUUCAUUGGGUUUAAAGGGUGCGCAGGUGGGCUUGUAAGUCAGUGGUGAAAUGCUGCCGCUUAACGGUAGAACUGCCAUUGAUACUGCGAGUCUCGAGUAUGGUUGAGGUAGGCGGAAUGGGGUGUGUAGCGGGGAAAUGCAUAGAUAUGACACAGAACGCCAAUUGCGAAGGCAGCUUACUAAGCCAUUACUGACGCUGAGGCACGAAAGCGUGGGGAGCGAACAGGAUUAGAUACCCCUGUAGUC
rnacentral:rRNA from 1 species